AGGGCUCCUCCUGGUUUUGGUACGAUCGAACAGAGAGAGAGAGGGAGAGAGCCAAGAAACCCUAGUUCUUCAAAUUCUACAAAAUUGAAAGGGAAAUCAAGGAUUAAUCGAAUGCAUGAGCAUGGAACUUUGAUUAUCUUAGUGUUCUUGACAUCUAGAACAAAGAAGGAAGGAGGAACAAGUCAUUCUAUAGCGCAAGAAACGCAAGAUCGCGGUAAAUCCUCAACUUAGGCGACUCGGCGAAAUGGAGCGAGCACGUGUCCAUGUCAUGUUAUACCAAAUGCUUCCGCUAGCUUAUGUUCAUCUUUAUGGUCCAUGACUUGUUAUUUUGUCCAACUUUGUUAGUAGUCGUACAUUUGUAAAGCUUGUCGUCUUGCUUUGAGUAGUUUAAUGUCAAACGGAUCGUAGUAUGUUGUUUAGUUUAUUAUGUUAAAAACAGGGGGCACGUUCGUUUUACGAACAGGUCAUGCCGAAUUUUUGUAAAAAUUUUUACUAUGUAUCAAGGUUGGUAUUUUUGAUGUCUUUAAAUUACUCUUGUAAGUAAAUUACUAUUUAUGGAAAAACGGACCUUAC
rnacentral:lncRNA from 1 species